rnacentral:rRNA from 1 species
CUCGUAGGCGGUGUGUCGCGUCGGCCGUGAAAACCUGCAGCUUAACUGUGGGCUUGCGGUCGAUACGGGCAUCACUGGAGUUCGGCAGGGGAGACUGGAAUUCCUGGUGUAGCGGUGAAAUGCGCAGAUAUCAGGAGGAACACCGGUGGCGAAGGCGGGUCUCUGGGCCGAUACUGACGCUGAGGAGCGAAAGCGUGGGGAGCGAACAGGAUUAGAUACCCUGGUAGUCCACGCCGUAAACGGUGGGCGCUAGGUGUGGGGGCCAUUCCACGGUCUCUGUGCCGCAGCUAACGCAUUAAGCGCCCCGCCUGGGGAGUACGGCCGCAAGGCUAAA